rnacentral:tRNA from 1 species
CGGGGCGUGGCGCAGUUUGGCUAGCGUGCUAGACUGGGGGUCUAGAGGUCGCAGGUUCAAGUCCUGUCGCCCCGA